rnacentral:rRNA from 1 species
GACGAACGCUGGCGGCGUGCCUAACACAUGCAAGUCGAACGGAGUAAUGAUUUCGGUUAUUACUUAGUGGCGAACGGGUGAGUAACGCGUGAGAAACCUGCCUUUCAGUGGGGGACAACAGUUGGAAACGACUGCUAAUACCGCAUAAUGUUAUUUGGGGGCAUCCCGGAUAACCAAAGAUUUAUUGCUGAAAGAUGGUCUCGCGUCUGAUUAGCUAGUUGGUGAGGUAACGGCUCACCAAGGCGACGAUCAGUAGCCGGUCUGAGAGGAUGAACGGCCACAUUGGGACUGAGAUACGGCCCAG